rnacentral:rRNA from 1 species
UCGAGAAUCUUCCGCAAUGCGCGAAAGCGUGACGGAGCGAUGCCGCGUGAUGGAUGAAGCGGUUUUCCGCGUAAACAUCUUUUAUGAAGGAGGAAGUAUAUUGACGUUACUUCAUGAAUAAGGGGUUCCUAACUCUGUGCCAGCAGGAGCGGUAAUACAGAGACCCCAAGCGUUGUCCGGAAUCACUGGGCGUAAAGGGUGCGCAGGCGGCAUGGUUAGUCGUAUGUUAAAGCUCGGGGCUCAACCUCGAAAUCGCAUACGAAACGGCCAAGCUUGAGUAUGGUAGAGGUAAAUGGAACUCAUAGUGUAGGGGUGAAAUCCGUUGAUAUUAUGGGGAACACCAAAGGCGAAGGCAAUUUACUGGACCAUCACUGACGCUCAUGCACGAAACCCUGGGUAG